UACGUAGGGGGCAAGCGUUAUCCGGAUUUACUGGGUGUAAAGGGAGCGUAGACGGCCAGACAAGUCUGAAGUGAAAAUCCAGCGCUUAACGUUGGAAGUGCUUUGGAAACUGCCGGGCUAGAGUGCAGGAGGGGCAGGCGGAAUUCCUAGUGUAGCGGUGAAAUGCGUAGAUAUUAGGAGGAACACCAGUGGCGAAAGCGGCCUGCUGGGCUCUAACUGACGCUGAGGCACGAAAGCGUGGGUAGCAAACAGG
rnacentral:rRNA from 1 species